ensembl:lncRNA
CGGGGACGCGGCGGUGUAUUACUGCGCCCUGGACCCACGGGAACAUGUCCCUCUCACGGCUCCGCAUCCUCCGGAGUAAGGCGUUCCAGCUGCACACCCUGCUGAGCACGGCAUGUCGAGGUCACAAACACCUGGAUGGAGGUCAGAACACUUCAGCCCCUCACUGAUAGGCCAGUUAGGGAACCACCGCUGUUAGAUUAGGAGUGACCUACAGCUUUGUGAAGUUCAAGUGACAAGAUGAGAAAAAAGAUGAGCAAUGCUCUUGAGGGACUUGUGGGGCUACGCACACAUUUUAAGGAAUGUUAACGGAAAAGUCAAAGGUGUCACAAAGUGGCUUGUAGAGAGGAACAAUGGGAUGCACUGCAGAGGAGGGAGGACACAAAUUUCCAGUCAGUACACCUUCAGGGAUGAGCCCUAUGCCUGACCACCACAGACAAACCUUUCUUCUUCUUAUUUCCCGACUUGUCUGUGCAGCAUUGAAACUGUGCUCUCUUUCUCAUGUGGGAGCACCCCAAGGUCUAGGCCAGUAGAUGUAGUGACUGCUGUGCAGGAGAGAUCUGAGUGCCACUGGCCAGAACAACAUCCACAGCACAUCAGGAUUAAACCAGUGACUGGGCGGAAAGUGUUUUAGAUUCUCCAAGAGAGGUGUGUGAGGAAACACAAAGCCUGGGAGAGGAGGUUCAGCAGGCUGAGAUCCCAUGGUAAUAUCUGGGGGAUCAGCAUGAGUGUGGGGAUGUGUGUGAGAGGAGUGGGUGACUGCAUGCAUCUGUUGGCCAGUGAACAGCAGGCUGGCCUAUCCUGAGCAAAGGAGGAGACCCGAAUGCUAGGUAAGGGAAGCCAGGCAGGCUCCAGGCAGGAGGUAUUGGAUGUGCUGAGGGCCCGUGCUGGCACUGAUGGGCUGUGUGACUGUGGGAGUGCUUGUGAAGCUAGUGGGUGAAAGUGUGUGCUUCCACUGGGGUGUGCACUCACUUGUCACACACAGGGAGUGCCCUGCCUGUGGAGCCAGCAGAGUCAUUUCCGGCAGCUCUGUCACCUUGGGGCUGGGAGGUGGUUUUCUGCCUCUUUCUCACUCAGCAAACAGGAGGCUCGGUCUCAGCAUGCACCGCAGCUAUCUCGUCCUCACUGCCUUCCUGGGACAACUGCUGGAAAGAAGCAGAUCCUGCCACAGUCACAGCAGUGACAUUAAACAUCUCAUCAUAUCAGCAUUAAGGGGACGCUGUGUGGAGAACACUGACCAUGGCCUCCAGAGUUCUCCUGGUUAUCAGCACAGCCAGAAAUCACACUUGUCAGUCCACAGGUCAGCUUAGAGUAUACUGAGGGACUUAGGAGCCCUCCAAGAUGACAGGGAUGCAGAAGCAAGGUGCAUCUUGACCCAAUAGCUCCAUGGGUCCUUCAACGUGCAGAGCCAGGACAGGCUAUUCCCUGUUCCUCUCAACAGGGGCACAGCACAGGGUCCGCUCUGGCCCACCAAGUCAGAGCUUCUUCCAAAACCACCUUGCUAUGCCCAGGCCUCAACACCUUUCUGCACAACAAAGCACAGGGAGCCUUCUCUCCCACUGGUUUGUAAGUUGGCAGCCUGGAGCCUUCCCUGCAGAGCUGCUCACCUUUGCUUUCUUCUUCCAGAUGCCAUGGGGCAGACCAUUGUCAGCCAGCAAGAAGGACAGGUCACAGUGGAGGAGAGAAACACCUUCCAGCACCACCUGCACAUACCAAACACCUUACUUUCGUGGCUUGUAUUGGUACCAGCAGAAGAAAGGCCAAGCCCCGCAGCUGGUCACAUAUCAGGCAGCAGCAGGCUCCAAGCACAACGGCCGUUUCACCACGUGGCUGAACACCACCGCAAAAUACAGCCUCCUGCGGCUGGCAGAAGUCGAGCUGUCUGACAGCGCCUUGUACCUCUGUGCUGUGCAGGACACCCUGGUGCAGGGAGCUUCCUUGGCCGCGCAACAACCUCGGAGAGGGAGGGGGUGUGUCUGAGCAAGGCGGAGCUCUGGGGAAGGGGCCCUCAGCUGUCCCCUGGCAGCGCUGCUUCCCCUGUGCACACAGAGAUCUGCAGGUCAACAUCCUCUUCCUGAAGGGACUGAUGUCUGUGUCAUGAGUGGAAUGAAAAGUGAUGAAACUGACCUGGAACUCCUCUCCAUGUACACUCCUGGGCAACAGGAGUUUUUCCAUGGGCUGUGCAGAGAACACAUGCUGCAUAGUGAUUGGUGUGCCCUGCUGUGCACUGAGGGCUUUAAGCAGCUGGUCUGAAACUCACCUGAGCCUUGCAGUUCCAUGCAGACUGCUUCUUUGUUCUGUUUCUUUUGCCCAAAUCCUCAGCAGGGUGGAGCUUCCCAGAGUGGCCCUUUCUGGAGAAUGCAAUGUUACUGUUACACUGCUUCAAUAAGAACUUCCUUCCCUAAGCUCCACGUAUACAUUUUGGAGCUGAGUGGAGCAACGGAGAUGAUGCAUGAUUUUCUAGUAAUAGCUCUUCCACAUGAGUGCAUUCCAUAUUAUGAGAGACUCCCAUGAUUUGAUGUCUUAGCACGUGUGGUCCAGAUAAGGACCUUAUUAUUCAGCACGAUGGGCACUUUCUGCCAUAGUAGUGUCUGGAAAUGUAGUAGAGCACCCAGAGGUGAUGGAGACUCCAUCACAGCUGAGGAUGCUGUCAAUCACAGCAGAGGUGGAGGAUCCCACAACGGUGUUCUGCAGGGUAAGAGCUGAGGGCCAGGCCUAGCAGGGCUGCUAUCAUGGGAAGGGGUUUAACAAUGACACUGUAUAUUUGCAGCUGUUGGCUGGUGAGUUUGUAGCAUUGGACGGCCAUGGGCACGCCUUGUCAUAGCAGGGCAUGUCUCAAAGAGGUAAGAGGGUUUCCUGGCUUCAUCCAGACAGGACACUUUCUUUUCAUAUGAUGGCCCUGAACUGCCCUCUGCCCUGGGUAGCAUCCACAGGAGUGACCAUUCUCUGCAGCGUUUUUAAUGAAUGGAAAGCAUCCCAGCUAAUGAUACAG